UCCUCGGAGAACCCCUCCUCCCAGCCGCGGGGCAGAUCUGGGGAGGCAGAACAAAGGGAGUGAGAACUUGGUGCCCUGAAGGUGCCUCCCUGUCCGGAGAAAGGGGGGGAGCGGGGGUUGGGGAGGGCGCGAGACCCCCGCCACCCAACGGUCGUUAGCGGUUCCUCCCCCGCCACGCGACACACCCCCAGCCCCGGGCGGGCACCCACCUGAGCGGAUCAUGUGGCCGGAGUUGACGGGCUCCUCCGUGCGAGGAUGCAGCCAAGUAGUAGAGCGGGUCAGGUCACUAGGAGGGAGAAGCGGAAAACAUGCACCUGUUAGUGACGGGCAGCCCCGGGCGGACCCCCGCCCUCCUCCCAACACGCGCCUCCCCGCGCCUUACUCGAUGAAGAACACCCGGCCGUCCCUGCAGACGCCAUAGGACCAGUGCUCAGGCACACUGUGAGUGAAACAGAAUGUAAGCUCCAAAGGACAUGGAAAAUAAAGCCCUGCCCUUUUUCCAGAGUGCAGAAGGAACUGAUGUUAACGAUGAUGCUGUAAUACAGGCUUUGUAAGGUGCAAAUGUUUCUGUGCUCCCCCUAUCAUCUCCGUCCCUGAGGU